UUGCCUUUUUAACCAAACAUUUGUUCUUCACUUUGAAAAUCCCAUGUAUGACCUCAUCACAAUUGCAGCCAUUUAAAGUCCCCUCUCUACUCUCUACUUUUAUGAGGUAAUUCCUAAUGAUUUCACAUACUACCAUUUCCCUGCAACUCUAAUGAUGGAAUUUUGCCAUUAUUUUUUUACUGCUGGUACAUUGAACCCUACACGUGAGUGUUUAUAUUUGCUACUUAUUAUUAUUAUUAUUAUUAUUAUUAUAUUAUUAUUAUUAUUAUUAUUAUUAUUAUUAUUAUUUCUUGAGCCACUGAUUUUGUGGGACCUACUACUGUAAAAUUUAGAGUUCAACUUUUAUAUGUAUUAUGUGUCAAUAUUUUAACACUAAAUAUAUUCAGAUACUUUAUAAUAAGUAUAAUUAGUAACUUGAAAUAUCACCAACGAUUGUAGAUACGAUAAAUAAGGAGCGUUUUAAUUUUUAAUGGACCCUGCAGGAUUGCUUGAAUCUUAAAAUGUGUAUCGAACAUCCAUGGGACCAAAAAAAGUUCUAAUAUAUCAAGUUAACUUACACUCUUAGGGGUCGUUUGGGUACUCGAAUUAGGAUACUAAUUCCUAAUUUCGAGAUAAAAUUUAAGAUUGUAUUUAUCACAUAUUUAAUUAUAGUACUGGUAUAAACUAACCUCUUAUGUACUUCAAAUAUACUUGAUUAAAAAAUGCGAAAAAGAAUCAAAUUUUCUGCUAGAUCGAAUAUUUUUCAAGGAAUUAUAGUUCUAUUAAUCAUUGUUAACCCUGGAUAAGUCUCUUUGGAACCAAAUAAACCCUUAUUACAUUGUAAGUAAAUACAAAUUAAAUCCAAGUAAUUAGACCAAUUUGUGUGGGCUGGUACCCACAUCAGCCAUUAAAAUUCAAAACUAAGACCUUUGAUCUGAUGGCUUAGAUUUCAACAUAGAAAGAUCAUGAGAUUGUUUCUUUGUUCUUUUCUUCUUGUUUUUCAUUUAUUUAUUUUAGAUUGAAUUUGGUCCUUGAAAAGGAAGUGAUAAUAAUGAGAAGAGUAUCUCGAAGACUGCAAAAGUUAAAAGUGGUAUGGAAGACAGAAUAAGAUGUUGGUAAUUAUGUUAAUAUACUUGAUUUGUUACAUUACUGGUUCCACUUAAUUACCAACCUUUGUUAGCAUGAACAGUAUCCUAUAACAAGUUAUUUUUUCUAAUAUAGUAUUAAUUAAUCAAUAAAUUAAUGAAUUGGAUGGUAAUCUAUUAAAGUGGUACAUAAGGUGGGUUUAAAACGUCGUGAGUUAGUUCUAUCUAUACCCAUUGUGGGCAUUGAAGUAUUGAAAGGACCUUUCCUUUGUAUGAGAAGACCGGCUCCAAUCGGCCACGACGACUUAGACAACACAAAAAAUUCAAACCCGUGAAGGAGAAAAGCCAAUGGAAGACACUAGCAAAAGUCGGGCCGAUCACUUGUCUUUAUUCAAGCAACGGUACAGCGAUGAACAAAAUGAAGUGAGAGGCCCUAGGGGAGUGAAAAGAGUCGAGUCGAUCAGGUUCGACGAUCGGGAGAAGUAAAACGAAAUUAAAUUUAGCCGAUUCAACUUUACCCCUCAAAGUUAAUAUAUUUGUACAAGCUACACCUCGAACUCUAGAAAGGUCAAUUUACCCCUCUUAAUCCUGCAUUUUUGGCGACAUCAAACAACUUCAAUAAACUUAGUGAGUUUCACGAAUAGGGUUUAGAGAGGAUGAUGUGUGCGUAUGCCUUACCCUUAUUCUGAGGGAACAUAGAGGUUGUUUCUGAUAGGACUUAAUUAAAAACAAGAUAAAAAGAAACAGUGAUAACAUGUGACAAUAACAACAAGAUAUAAGAAAACCAAAGCGAAAGUAUGCAUUUUCCAAGAAUAUUCCAAUUUUAGUAUUGAGUAAAGGAUAAAAAAAGUUAUCAUCAUAAAAACAAGUUAAUGUUAUAAAGUAUUAACUAAACAUGAUUCAUGAUUAGUGAUGACAUCAAUUUUCCAUUUUUGUAUUAGAAUUUGCUUGAAGAAAAAAAUUGUCAAAAUUGAUAAUGGAGCACAAAUCUAUUAAGGUAGUUAACAGAGAAACUUAAUUAAUGUUUGGUCCACUUAAUCUAGUUGAACUACUUUAUUAGAAGGAAAUUAGAUAGAGAUGCUAUUGGUGUCAAAGCCCUAAUGAAUCUUUAUUUUAAUGAACUUUUUGCCUGUCUUAUGUCUACCUUUUCUCCAACAUUUUUCAUCAUGUUUAAUUAUUUUUUACAGCACUGCUAGAUUUCAUUACUGAGAUCACCAGUUAAGUUCAGAAUAUGCAUUUAGUUCCACCAACAUUCAUUUAAAAAUCUAUCUUAGCGUAAUACUAUCUUUUGUUUUAAAUUUUAGGAUUUGGAGGUAAUAUAUAUUUGCUUUUAAAUGGUUUUGUUGGGUAAAACCAAACCAUAUAUUCUAAACAAAUGUUGUUGUUCGCUUUAAAACAAGUUUGUACCGUGUUCUUUAAAAGACCUACACUAUUAAGAGAUACGUACACUAUAUAAACUUUAUUUCAGCUAUUAAUAUAGAACUUUGUUCGCACCUUACACUUUUUCUUUGAACUAUAUAAGUUUCACGCGACUCACUACCACGAUCUGCAUGUCUCCCUCUGAACUAGCCCAUUACUAUGAUCUACGAGUUAAUUUUCAAGAUUCAUUGUGUGCCACCCAUAUUGUUAGAGUAAUGUGGCAACCGGAUUCCACAACUGGCUUUUUCUUAUAGUGCAUUUCUAAGCUCGUAAAGGUAUGAAAAUCGAGCCCCCCACCAUUCGCCAUCGCCAUUUUGAUCCGUCGAGUCUGAGCUCAGAUAUCAUUUGUUUGGCUAAAUCAAUCAAAAAAUAAUUUCAAUAUAAUAUUAUAUUAUCCACAAUAAAUUAAUUUCGUAUAAUUUUUCUUAAAAGAAUUCACACCAUUAAAAUAUUCCUACACUUUAUAUAUAAGUUCCCAAUCUUUUUCAAAGAAAAAUCAUGUUGUGAUUUUGCUUUAUAUUACAAUGAGAAUUUUUUGGUUCAUUGUGUGAAAUCAUCAUAAAGUGCCAAAAGACAACUGCAACUCCACUGCUUGAUCGAUGUGGAUAUUAGGAAGAAAAAAAAUUAAAUAGAUAUAUGUUAUCCUGGUUGUGCUUGAGAUACACAUGCCUAACCACAUUGCUACUCUAUAAAAAACCACAAUACAAGAUUUUGCCGAAGUUUCUAAGUUAUAUAUAUACAAAAUUUCUGUCAAAAUUUACAUAAAGUUUAUAAGGUUCGAUGACCCCUCAAUAUUCAACGUACUUACAUAGGCCCGCCUCCGAAUAUGAUAUUAAUGAUGUUUAAACUCUACCGCAAAAAAACUUAGAAGUUUAAGUGGAGAAUAGUAAAUGUAAAACUCCAAUUAUUCACCGAAUUUGUAAAUAUGUGCCAGCUGGUCUGAAUCCAUAACUUUCGCUCAUAUUUUAUAUUUUGUCCAAAAAAUAAUAAAUAUAUAAAAAUAAUAAAUUUUAAACCUAUUAAAUUAAGUAGAAUAUGAUAGAAUUGCGAAUUUGAACCCAUAAAGUUCAGAUCAUGAUGAAUCUGCCUCUCCCAACUAUCUCCCUAAGGAUUUCUCAAUUCUCAAAAUAAUCAUAUGAGAACAAUUUCCCUGUCUUAAACUUGAUAUAACCAAAACAAGUCGCCUUCCGGAAAAAAACAACAACAACGUACCGAUAUGAUUAUGUGGAUUUGAGGAGGUUGAAGUGGAUGCAGACCUUAGCCUACAUAAGGUAAAUAGGUUGUUUUCGAUAGUACCUCACCUUCCAGAACAAGUACGGUCAUUAUGUAAGGUAAUUAACGUGAAAAACAGAAUGAAAAAUCAGUAGAACAAUGAAAAGGGAUCAAGCUGUCUAUUUCUUUAUUCCUUUUCACUGUAGGAUAAUGUUAAUACAAACAUUUUGUUGGCCAAAUUGAAAAAGGUCCAUUGACAUUAGUUUUGCUGCUUAUUUACAGGACAGCAGCUUAACAUAUGUCAAACAUAUACUCCAUUAUUUGAUCAAAAUGAAUGUAGCUACACAGGGAUUGAAUGAAGGAUCUAAUUUGACUUACAUUGACAGUGUCACGAAAUUAAAGGAAAUUGCUGGAAUUUUAAGAGACAUAUAAGUGUAGUAUAAGACAAGAGGGGUUGCUCUGAUGGUAAGCAACCCUCACUUCCAACAGAGGGGUUGUGAGUUCGAGUCUCCCCAAGAGCAAGGUGGUAAGUUCUUGGAGGGAAGGAUGCCGGGGGUCUAUUUGGAAACAACCUCUCUACCCCAGGAUAGAGGUAAGGUCCAUACAUACUGCCAUCCCCAGACCCCACUAUGUGGGAUUAUACUGGGUUGUUGUUGUAUAUAAGUGUAGUAUACUGGAUUAUCUACAGGGAAAAGCAUAAUGAAACAGUAGAAUAAUCUCAUCAGAAGUAACGCAAGAAAAAAAAUGAAAACAUUGCAGCAUGAGAUUAGCUUGUAACUCGUCUUAGUUGAUAGGUUUGUAAUUAAAUAUCUGAAUACAACUUUAAUUUGAUACAAUAUUAGGGAUUGUUUGGUUAGUAGGAUAAGAGAUAAUCAAUUUGAGGAUAAAAUAGGAGAUUAUUUUAGCCCGCAUUUGGUUAUGGUAUUAACUAAUCCUCAUAAUCAAUUUGUACUAAAAUGAUAAAAUUAGUUGUUCCAUAUAGAAGGUGGGAUAAUUAAUUCUGUAAAAUAUUAUUAUCUAUCCCAUCCUGGUAACGAAACGACCCAUUAAAAGAAGAAUAGAGAUCCAUCAUUCUUUUCUAUAUUUUAUAAUUGACCUAAAGGGUAGCCAUUACACUAAGAUGUUAUGAGCGAGGUCCCGGGAAGGGUCGGACCACAAGGAUAUAUUACAUAUGCAACCUUAUUCUCCAUUUUUGCAAGAGGCUUUUUCCACGAUUCAAACUCGUGACUUCCUGGUCACAUGACAACAACAUUUCCAAUUAUGCCAAGGUUCCCCUUUACCAGUUCAGUUAUUCUAUAAUUGAACUAUUUAGGUAUAAAGAAAAUAACAAAAAGCCAACUUCUGAGCAAAGUUUGAAACUGAGCUGGUCCUUUUUCCAUGGACAAGAAACUAGAAGUAUAUUAUCAUCACUGUUGAAUUUUAAAUCCUUUUCUAAGUCUACAAUCACACAAGUAUUUUCUCAUUACUCUUUCUCUCUCGUGUUCUUUUUUGGUUUCAGUUUGAAUAUUGCCUUUAUAUUUUACAAGGGGAAUUAGAAGCAAGAUUUGUUAUCCAAAUAGUAUCAGCAACAACAGCUUCAUCGUCAUCAUUUCUAUGCCAUGUCCAUUUUGCAUGAGUUGCAUUUACCACAUCAAAUCUCCAUGUCCAAAAUUUGCUUCCCUGAAUAAUGAAAUUUUUGGUUGUGGAUCUAUGUACCUAUAUUAAUUGAUCAAUAAAAAAAGUCAAUAUAUUUCUAGGCACAAAAAGUGAAAUAAGAAAUUGAAACACGGAAUACUUCGUGAGCCAGACUUACUUGCUAGCGAGGCCUUCCCUAUUACCACCAUCUCCAAUUGUGAUGUAUAUUUGACCACAAUUAUUAGCAUUGUCUUUGUAAACUCGAGUCUAUAUCAUGAAUUAAAACACAAGAAAGAAUUAAUUGUCAGGAAAUCAUCUCACAGUAACAUACUUUUUGUGAUGAAAAUGAUAGCCAUUUCAAGAUUUUCUACACAUUAGAGGUGAUUAUUUUUUCAAGAAACUAUCUUACUGAUCAUCAUCAACAACAACAAAUUCAAUGGAAUCUCACGAGUGGGGUUUGAGGAGGGUAACGUGUAUGCAGACUACAACCCUAUCUCAGAAAGGUAAAGAGUUUGUUUCCAUGGACUAUCGGUGUCUUAGUGAUCAUCAAUAACAACAAACGCAGUGGAAUCCCACAAGUGGGAUCUGGGGCGGGUUGUGUGUAAGCAGACCUUACCCCUACACUGGAAAGGUAGAGAGGAUGUUUCCGAUAGACUCUCGGCAUCCUAGUGAUCAUCAACAACAAUAAACUCAGUAAAAUUUCACAAUGGGGUCUGAGAAGGAUAAGGA
rnacentral:lncRNA from 1 species